GAGAUUUUUUUUUUUUUUUUUUUUGAGAUGGAGUCUUGCUCUGUCGCCCAGGCUGGAGUGCAGUGGCACAAUCUCCGCUCACUGUAACCUCCGCCUCUUGGAUUCAAGCAAUUCUCCUGCCUCAACCUCCCAAGUAGCUGGGACUACAGGCAUGUACCACCAUGCCUGGCUAAUUUUUCUAUUUAUAGUAGAGACGGGUUUCACAAGGUUGAUCAGGCUGGUCUUGAACUCCUGACCUCAAGUGAUCUGCCCGCCUUGGCCCCCUAAAGUGUUGGGAUUACAUGCGUGAGCCACCACAUCUGGCCGUAGUUGGAGAUUUUAACAAAUCUUUCUCAGGAAUCAAUACAGUAAGCUUGCAAAAAUCCAUAAGGAUUAAAGACAGAGGAGGAAGGAAAUAUAACUACAGAACUGAGCCUAAGAAUUCGGAAGGACUAGGUUUGUAGAGGGGUUUAUUUAAAGGGAAAGAGAUUAAGAGACUUAAUAAUUGAAUAAUGUGUUACAUUUUUGUGGGCCAUUUUCUUUGACCGGAAAAAAUACCAGAAGAUCCUUAUAUUUAGUGUAUCAUUAGAAAACUCAUUAAGAUUUAAAGAAAUAUAUUGGAGUAGUCCUUUUGUGUGAGGAACAGACUUAAAAGUUAUUUAUACUGAAAUCAGAAUUUGGUUUAUUAGAAUUGCAAGUAGUCAUUUUUCUUAAACCUUCAAGUACAAAUCUUAUUUAUAAAUCCAGAAACAAAUAGUUACUUUUAUUCUUUGGUUACUGUUUAAUUGAUAAUUGAAAAUUUGUUUAUUUAUUUUGAGAUGGAGUUUUGCUCUUGUUGCCUAGGCCGGAGUGCAAUGGCUUGAUCUCAGACCAUUGCAACCUCUGCCUCCUGGGUUCAAGUGAUUCUCCUGCCUCAGCCUCCCAAGUAGCUGGGAUUACAGGCACCUGCCACCACGCCCGGCUAAGUUUUGUAUUUUUAGUAGAGACGGGGUUUCACCCUGUUGGCCAGGCUGGUCUUGAACUCCUGACCUCAGGUGAUCCACCUGCCUCAGCCUCCUAAAGUGCUGGGAUGACAGGUGUGAGCCACUGAGCCUGGUUAUAAUUGAAAAUUUAAUCAUAAAAUAUUUUAUACCACUUACACAUUUAAUCAAAUUUCCUUGGGCAUUUUUCA
rnacentral:lncRNA from 10 species